UAAGGUCGGGCCGAGUGCGGACGACCGCGCGCGAGGUACACGACAGAGUCCUGAAUAAGGGUGGGCGUUCCAGGUACCGCGGGGAGGCGCGGCCAGGCGACAUGACCAGGAUGUCCUUGGGGAGCAUCCUCAAGGCCGUGUUAAAUUACGAGAGGAUUCGGGAGCCGUCCUCUGUCACGUCUUGGGUGGUAACCGGGGCGCAGCUGCUUUUUCUGAUAAUCUGCAUACCAGCCGCUUACUUUCUGGUGCGACUUCAUGAGAUUCAAUCGGACAUGAAGAUCGCUUGGGCUGGCGGAAUUGUGCUAUCCUUGCUCAUGGUCACCCUGUGCGUUGCUCUCCAGCCUCGCUCACCUAAGAUGGAGCACAACACUUACACAUUCAGGGUAAAUUCUAUGUGAAAUUAUGUUUCAAAUUUGUUCAUUGGACACAAUACGUUUAAAAACUUAAUGCAUUUCUUUAGGUACCACUUGUGCCAUUUUUACCUUAUCUCAGCAUCUUUAUCAAUAUGAGCCUUAUGAUGAUGUUGGAUUGGAGAACUUGGACCAGAUUUGGUGUUUGGUUGCUGAUAGGUUUUAUUGUUUAUUUUCUAUACAGUGUAAGGCACAGUACCUUGGCUGAAAUUCAACGUUUGGAGAGGAAGCCUGGGUCACAAGAUAAC